GACGAAGGCCGACGGGAAGACGUUGAAGGAGGAAAAAAACCGCCGGCGAGGAGGAGGGAGGUGGCCUGUAAAGCUUUCUGCAGCAUGCACGAUGAAACAGGGUUGGCUGAGAAGUUUAUGUUUUAUUUAAUGACGAAAGGCACUUUCUGGCCUGCUCCUCGGUUCCCGCUGUGCAGCUUGGGAGUAAAUCCAGUUACUCCUGAGGAAAGAGAAUCCCUCCAGGAACCUGACAAUGCAGGAAAAUAAUUUGCAGUGUCACAGGGUACUUGUGCAUUAUGCUACAUUUUAUGAAGAAGUCCUUAAAAUGGGCCACCUUUUACUGUUUUGCAUUGGACUUUCGCAUGUCAGGAACAGGAAUUAGCUCUACAUAUUUGUUAUAAUGAUGUAUUUUCCAAAAAGGAGGUAACAAAGAUAAUAUUUAAAAGGUCCCAACUGGAUGUUUUUUGAGGGGGAAAAAAAAAUCACUGUAGUCUGUCUGUCUUUGGAGAGACUGACAGGUUUUCAAAGAAAUCCUGCAGAAUGCACAAUGCAUUCACCUUGUCUAGUUUAAUAGAGGCAGAAAAUGAUUAGAGUGUGUUUUAAUACUUGCUGUACAUGUGACGUAGGAAGCCAAGCCUCAGAACAGUUUAAAUGUUGAUAUACCCAGCUUGAAAAAAGCUUGUCAAAUAAAUCAAACCAUUCUGGGGGCAAACCUAUGUUGUUUUUAAACCACAGAGUGGGGCAGUGGGCGUGGUUACUCCCACGGUUGAAUGGUGAAUGUAUAGAUUUAAAAUACAUUUUGCCACACUGGUUUCCAGAGGAUUGUUUUGGCCUCGUAUUCCAAUAUCAUGAGCCAAAACUCUGGUCAGUGUUUUGACAACAGAGCCAGGAAAAACAAAAAAGGCUUAGCCUGUGAAAAAGAAAUGAAGAUGUAGUGAAGGAAAACAGUAGUCUCUCUGCCACUGCCUUACUCAAUCCAUAUGUGGACUUAAACACAGGAAAUACCCACCACUCACCGCAAUCAAGCCAGGGGCUUGUGCAUCAGAAAGUGCCUUGUGGAACUAAUUGGACUCUAUUAAGAUUGUCACUGACAUAGGAAAGCAUUUUGAAAUUUGAAAUUAGAACAUUUAAAGAAUACAGAAAAAAAGAUAAUCUGCUGCAGGAGUAUUAAUUUUUUUUUUCAAAUAUAUCCACCACAACACUACAGUCUCACAAUGUGCUUUUAUUAAGGCUUUUUGCAUAAAUUUAUUAUAAUGUUGUGAUGUUUGUGUUAUUAAACUCUUUAUGCUUACUUUUCAUCUGAAGUCCUUCUGACGCAGAGUAUGCUCCAGGAUCACUUCGGAGUGGAAGAAAAUCUAAACUUCACCAAUUUAAAAUGGUAAUAAACGAUGUGCAUAGUACCUUUCAUAUAGGCAAAGUUUACGGAGAAAACACAGCUACAAAUAAUAGGUCCUGGAAUGAUUUUUUUUCUUCAUUUUAUAGACUUGAAUGAAAACAACAACAUUUGUCCUUGCCAGCAAGUAUUUGGCAAAGUGUUUAUUUUAGCAAUUCCAUGCCAGAUAUCUCCUUGUGAGGUUUUGGUGAUGCUUUUCCUGACCGCAUUUUUUUUUUACUUUACUGUUGCAUUUAGACUUUUAUCAUGGUGAGUCACAAUUAGACCUGACAAAACAAUGUCGUGAUUGCCAAUUAAAUUCAACUUCUGGGUAAUUUUCACUGAAUUCACACUCCUGUGAACUCUUGUGAUCUUCCCCUGUUUGAUUUGUCUUGCUAGUGCUUUACAUCAAAUCAGGGGGACCAUUUGUGCUUCAAAUGGUACAGGCUUUUUAGUACACCGCUGUACUGGGGGUCAAGUCACUUGGCCUUCCAGAUAGACCUGGAAGGGUUUGAAGGGGUGAUGUGUUUUCCACAGUUUUCAAGUCAUCAAACAGGGCUGCUGUAGAGCUGUCUAAUAAAAAUAUCAAUUCCUCCACAUCAGCCACACAAGUACUGUGACAGGACUAGGGACAGGCAAUUUAAGUGCUUUGGAUGCUGUCUGUACCUAAAGUAAUUUUGUUUUCAUUGUUUGCCUCUUUGAUCCCUUUUUUCAUCCGAAUGGUAUUUCAUCCAAAUUUCAUAAAAAAUUCCUGUUCAAAAAUUCCUAUCUUCGAAAGACUUGCAAAAGCAAACCCAUUCACGCAGAGCAAGAGUUGCAGUUGUAAUUUCGCUGUGUUGAAAUCCAGCUCAUUGACAUUUGGAAUACAGUUAGCAGAGCUUCAGCUCCUGAAGCUGCACAUUCAAGCCUUACAUUUGCCUGCAGUGAUUUUAAACCACUAUGAAAAACAUAAUGGCAGUGGAAGCUUGCUCUCUUUUGCCAUUGUUAAAAGCCUAUUUUUCCUUGCCUGGUCCACAGCCUGGGAUGAGAUUUGAGAUGCCUGAGGGUCUCCAUUCAAUUUUCGCUCCUGUUUCUAGUGCUAAAAUGCCCUGAGAGAAUACCCCAGCUCUUCUUCCAGAGCUGGUCCACAGAUGACCACCUCCUAAUCCCAACUACCAGUCAUUCUUCUAGCUUAAGCAGCAGCCUUAUCCCAAUGUUUUGUGACUUUUGCAGAUUUGACUUCAGAAUUUAUGAAUCAUUUCUUGCAUUUUAUGUGGUCUGUUGGGGGAAAGAGUGGGGAGAAAGUCUGGGUGUAAAUACGUAAAAUGGGGUGACUUUACAGGCAUGAGUCAAGUCUGAUUGUAAUGUAAACACAACUGAUUAUUGUGUUGGUAGAUGUCUGCAAAGUGUGUUUGGAGUACAAUAGCCCAUCUGAUAUAUUCAGACAGCAACUGAAUGUGUAAUAAAUUAAGAACAGACAAAACAGUUAU